GACGAACGCUGGCGGCGCGCUUAACACAUGCAAGUCGAACGGAAAGGCCUGCUUUCCCUUGUGGAUUGCGGGUACUCGAGUGGCGAACGGGUGAGUAACACGUGAGUGAUCUGCCCCCAACUUGGGUAUAAGCCUGGGAAACUGGGUCUAAUUCCCGAUAGGGCUGCAGGGUGGUGCCUGUGGUGGAAAACGAUUUUCUAGUGGUUGGGGAUGAGCUCGCGGCCUAUCAGCUUGUUGGUGGGGUAAUGGCCUACCAAGGCGGCGACGGGUAGCCGGCCUGGGAGGGUGGACGGCCACAUUGGGAAUGAGAUACGGCCCAGACUCCUACGGGAGGCAGCAGUGGGGAAGAUUGCACAAUGGGCGGAAGCCUGAUGCAGCGACGCCGCGUGGGGGAUGACGGCCUUCGGGUUGUAAACUCCUUUCGACCGCGAGGAAGCCACCUGGUUGGAAGGGUGGUGACGGUAGUGGUAGAAGAAGCACCGGCUAACUACGUG
rnacentral:rRNA from 1 species